GACAGAGGUGCCAAGCGUUAGGCGGAAUCACUGGGCUUAAAGCGUGUGUAGACGGAUGUCUAAGUACCUUGUGAAAUCCCACGGCUCAACCGUGGAACUGCUUGGUAUACUGGAUGUCUUGAGCCAGCUAGGGGCUACCGGAACAAAUGGUGGAGCGGUGAAAUGCGUAGAUAUCAUUUGGAACGCCAAUGGUGAAAACAGGUAGCUGGGGCUGUGCUGACGCUGAGACACGAAAGCCAGGGGAGCAAACGGG
rnacentral:rRNA from 1 species